GAUCAACGCUGGCGGCGUGCUUAACACAUGCAAGUCGAACGAAGUUUUUCCUUCGGGAGACACUUAGUGGCGGACGGGUGAGUAACGCGUGGGUAACCUGCCCUGUACAGGGGGACAACAGCUGGAAACGGCUGCUAAUACCGCAUAAGCCCUUAGCACUGCAUGGUGCAUAGGGAAAAGGAGCAAGCCGGUACAGGAUGGACCCGCGUCUGAUUAGCCAGUUGGCAGGGUAACGGCCUACCAAAGCGACGAUCAGUAGCCGAUCUGAGAGGAUGUACGGCCACAUUGGGACUGAGACACGGCCCAGACUCCUACGGGAGGCAGCAGUGGGGAAUAUUGCACAAUGGAGGAAACUCUGAUGCAGCGACGCCGCGUGAGUGAAGAAGUAUUUCGGUAUGUAAAGCUCUAUCAGCAGGGAAGAAAAUGACGGUACCUGAAUAAGAAGCACCGGCUAAAUACGUG
rnacentral:rRNA from 1 species